CACCUUGAGAUAAAGUAUUGAUUGCUUUUUAGUUGUGAUUUUGGUUUACAUAAAUUGUUGUCUCUUCAGUCAGAAAACAUGUGUAGGCCAAGUGUUAACACAUCGUGAUGCCAGGGCUUCCAGUGGGUCAGCAGUCGUUCCUCUCUUUCUGACAAGUGUGCUUUAACAGUUGUCUCUGCCCUGGUUUUCCAGAAAAGAAGAAAAGGUGGGGAUGAAAAUUUAAACUACCGCAAAUACUGACACUUUUGUUUUAUGAAUUAUGAAUUGAGUUUGGUAAGAAUUUUCCUUUGCGUCUGUCAGAUUGUAAACUCUUUUUCAGAUAGAGCAUUGUUUGAUACCUUCUUUGUCUUUUAUUUCCAUGUUGAAAUAAAGCCUUGAGGAGCUUACAGCAGAAACUUCUAUACCUGGUAGAAUGAAUUAUUGACGGUCAUCCUCUUACACAUGGCACAACUGGACAAAGGGAAUGCUCUGCUCAGUGCAAAACAGUAUUUUUUUCACUGUAAGAGUCAUCCAAAACAGACCCAACGACCUGGCCACCAGCCCACAAAACUGAUGGUUAAGGUGAAUGAUUCUGAGCAGGACACUGCUGAAGUUUAGUGGUUUUUAACCAGGUGACCUUAACUAAUUUUACAGUAAGCCUAAGUAAAAAAUGGUAGCAGAUAAAUACAGC
rnacentral:lncRNA from 1 species